AUGCCGAAGGGGAAAAGUAAAAAACGCGGCUCCUCUCGUCGAUCCCUGCUCUCACACGCAAGCCUCCUCUCUUCUCUCCCCCCGGCUCGCCGCCACCGCCGCCACCACUCACGACGGCCGAUUCCGGCGAGUACCAGCGGCGGGUGGCAGAUCAACGACCUCCCCACGCCCCGCUCCUUCCUCCCAUCCCUCCUGAUCCGACGGGGGCGGAGGCGGCGCCUCGUCCGACUCCUCCUCCCCGUCCUCAUCCUCCUCAUUCUCUGCCGCCACCGCCUCCUCCUCCAGCGCCCCUCCAGCGGCCGCAGCAACAGCCCCGCCGGCGGCGGCAGGGAGUACAACUUGUUCGGCGUCGUGCCCGUCAGGCCGGCCGCCGGGUACGGGGACGAGGAGGAAGAGGAGGCGAGAGAUUUGUUCGGCUCCGACAACGAGGAGUACUUCAAGACCCCCCGCGUAGCAACUACCUAA
rnacentral:rRNA from 1 species